CCUGACCCAGAGGCCCUGCAGGUAUGGCUUCUCUGUCACCUGUGCAUCUGUAGCUGGCAGAAAGGAGGGAGGCUGUAUCUACACUCAGUGUUCUGACCUUUGAACAUCUGAAUGAUCAGUAGCCUAAUACU